AUACACCCACUAUACUUGGAAAUACCCUUAACCUUCUAACUUAAUACCUAUUAGUUAACAAAAACUUUCACUUUACCCCCCCCCCCCCCACCGAAAAUCUGCCAUAAUCAUUUAAAAUAUUUUGUGAAGAUUAUGUGUAAAGGGAAUCUUGAUUUCUAUUGGCCAAGAUCUAGGUAAUUAUGAUCCUAGGCUAGAUUGGCACAUGGCUCCAAGGAUUCUUAUCAUUACAUUAAGAUCACACUUCACCCCUUCUCUCUCUCUCAUUUUCGGCUCACCCUAGCUGAAUUUACCAUCACCACCACUUAAACAUCACUAACUCAUUCAUACUCAAGCUCCAUUCAAGCCUUGAAGGUGAUCCAUGAAGGUUGCAAGUUAAGAAGCAUUCAAGGAAGCUUUGUUCUAAUCUUGUCAUCAUCUUUUCUCACCAUCAUCUUCACUAUGAUUCUUCCCUAGCUUGAAGCUAGUAGGAGUCGUGUUUGCUGAGGAGAUUUGGGUUACAAGUACCGAAGACGCAAUACAAUACUUUUAUACAUGGUAUGAUUAGCUAGGGAAUUUACUGUUAGAUCACGUGAAUGGAUAGGCUAUUAUCGUAAGACCAUUAAUCCUUGUAUAAGGACCGAUAGGCAUGAGUGAUAGAUCUAUUGGGUGUUGCGAGCCCCACAAAUGGACCAGCGUGUGGCUGCAUGUGGUGACUAUGUCGUUCCGCCGGAAGGACCGGUAUGAAGUACGCGUUACAGGAAAUUAAGUAUGGAUCUGGCGGGCG
rnacentral:lncRNA from 1 species